AGAAUGCUAGUUGAGCGCUUCCAGCCAAUACGGGAGCGCAGCGCACAGCUCAGUAACACGUGGCUAAUCUGCCCUUGGGACCGGAACACCCCCGGGAAACUGGGGCUAAUUCUCGAUAGGUGAAGAACUCUGGAAUGAGUCUUCGCUUAAAAGACGUUUACGUUAUGCUCGUAGGCGUCGCCCAAGGAUGAGGCCGCGACCGAUCAGGUUGUUGGUGAGGUAAUGGCUCACCAAGCCUUUUACCGGUGCGGGCCGUGAGAGCGGGAGCCCGGAGAUGGGCACUGAGACAAGGGCCCAGGCCCUACGGGGCGCAGCAGUCGCGAAAACUUUGCAAUACACGAAAGUGUGACAGGGCUAUCCCGAGUGCCAUCCGCUGAGGAAGGCUUUUACCCAGUCUAGAACGCUGGGGGAAUAAGGAGAGGGCAAGUCUGGUGUCAGCCGCCGCGGUAAUACCAGCUCUCCGAGUGGUGUGGAUGUUUAUUGGGCCUAAAGCAUCCGUAGCUGGCUGAGUUAGUCCCUUGUUAAAUCCACCGAAUUAAUCGUUGGAUUGCGGGGGAUACUGCUCGGCUAGGGGACGAGAGAGGCAGACGGUAUUUCCGGGGUAGGGGUGAAAUCCUAUAAUCCCGGGAAGACCACCAGUGGCGAAGGCUGUCUGCUAGAACGCGCCCGACGGUGAGGGAUGAAAGCUGGGGGAGCGAACCGGAUUAGAUACCCGGGUAGUCCCAGCUGUAAACGAUGCAGGCUANGUGUUUGGACGGCCACGUGCCGUUCUAGUGCCGCAGGGAAGCUGUUAAGCCUGCCNNCCUGGGGAGUACGAUCGCAAGAUUUGAAACUUAAAGGAAUUGGCGGGGANCACAAGGGCGAAUUCCA
rnacentral:rRNA from 1 species